UACGUAGGGGGCAAGCGUUGUCCGGAUUUAUUGGGCGUAAAGAGCGUGUAGGCGGCCAUACAGGUCAGCUGUGAAAACUCGAGGCUCAACCUCGAGACGUCGGUUGAAACCGUUUGGCUAGAGUCCGGAAGAGGAGAGUGGAAUUCCCGGUGUAGCGGUGAAAUGCGCAGAUAUCGGGAAGAACACCCGUGGCGAAGGCGGCUAUCUGGGCUGCAACUGACGCUGAGGCGCGAAGGCUAGGGGAGCAAACAGG
rnacentral:rRNA from 1 species